AUCUGUUUGGAGUAGUGGUUAGUGUGCUCGGCUGCAGAUCCAAGAGUCGCUGGUUCAAUUCCCCCACCAGAUG